GGACCGGUGCGUUUCAUCCAGGAGCCAAGAGUCUCCUUCAAAGUCUCUUUCUGUCUCCGCUCUGGCCCGCCACGGUCCUGCCCGCUGUUGUGGCUGCCUAGCUUCCUGUGGGAUGCUCUGCCCAAGAACAGACACCCUGCAGGGCUGCCAAGCUGGACAGAGGACCAGACCCAGCAGGCCAGCAUCCCUGCCUUUUAUUACCCUGCCGCCAGCAAGAAGCCCUCCUUCUCAGGCACUGCUGUUUAAGAGCUGGAGCCUUUGAGUAACAGGAAUAUCUUCAACAAAGACUUCUACACCGGUUUGUUAACAAACUCCCAGAACUUUGAAUUGCCAGGACAUCAUUCUGAUCAUUGAGAGAGUCUCCAAAGUACCCAUGCCUGUUUACUGGACCUCCAGAUUAAGACAGGCCUAGAGGAGAGCACACCAUCUUGAUGCCUGGGGCUGUCUGCUGAGAAACCUGAGCCUGCUCUGCCAGCAGCCAGAGGACCUGAGAGGGAAUGCCCUUAGAAGUGGCCUUCAACUAAUAACAACUGGUAGCAUGGUAACAGGUUCCAGCUUCCUCACCAAUGAGGUAGGACAGCUCUGAGGAUGAAGUCACUAGCCAUGGAAGCAGCUGACCUUCAACACACCCUGAAGAGUUCAGGAUGGAGAUCAGGAAUAAAGUACUCUGUUCUCUGGCAAAAACUGGCAGAACAGACCUUCAGAUAGUUAGACAUUUUAAAAGAAGAUGUUAUAAACCCAAAUUAUUGCAUCUUCUCA
ensembl:lncRNA